rnacentral:rRNA from 1 species
GAUGAACGCUGGCGGCGUGCCUAAUACAUGCAAGUCGAGCGAACGGACGAGAAGCUUGCUUCUCUGAUGUUAGCGGCGGACGGGUGAGUAACACGUGGAUAACCUACCUAUAAGACUGGGAUAACUUCGGGAAACCGGAGCUAAUACCGGAUGAUAUUUUGAACCGCAUGGUUCAAAAGUGAAAGACGGUCUUGCUGUCACUUAUAGAUGGAUCCGCGCUGCAUUAGCUAGUUGGUAAGGUAACGGCUUACCAAGGCAACGAUGCAUAGCCGACCUGAGAGGGUGAUCGGCCACACUGGAACUGAGACACGGUCCAGACUCCUACGGGAGGCAGCAGUAGGGAAUCUUCCGCAAUGGGCGAAAGCCUGACGCAGCAACGCCGCGUGAGUGAUGAAGGUCUUCGGAUCGUAAAACUCUGUUAUUAGGGAAGAACAUAUGUGUAAGUAACUGUGCACAUCUUGACGGUACCUAAUCAGAAAGCCACGGCUAUCUACGUG